rnacentral:rRNA from 1 species
UGAAAGGCCAAUCAAACCGGGAGAUAGCUGGUUCUCCCCGAAAGCUAUUUAGGUAGCGCCUCGUGAAUUCAUCUCCGGGGGUAGAGCACUGUUUCGGCAAGGGGGUCAUCCCGACUUACCAACCCGAUGCAAACUGCGAAUACCGGAGAAUGUUAUCACGGGAGACACACGGCGGGUGCUAACGUCCGUCGUGAAGAGGGAAACAACCCAGACCGCCAGCUAAGGUCCCAAAGUCAUGGUUAAGUGGGAAACGAUGUGGGAAGGCCCAGACAGCCAGGAUGUUGGCUUAGAAGCAGCCAUCAUUUAAAGAAAGCGUAAUAGCUCACUGGUCGAGUCGGCCUGCGCGGAAGAUGUAACGGGGCUAAACCAUGCACCGAAGCUGCGGCAGCGACACUAUGUGUUGUUGGGUAGGGGAGCGUUCUGUAAGCCUGUGAAGGUGGCCUGUGAGGGUUGCUGGAGGUAUCAGAAGUGCGAAUGCUGACAUAAGUAACGAUAAAGCGGGUGAAAAGCCCGCUCGCCGGAAGACCAAGGGUUCCUGUCCAACGUUAAUCGGGGCAGGGUGAGUCGACCCCUAAGGCGAGGCCGAAAGGCGUAGUCGAUGGGAAACAGGUUAAUAUUCCUGUACUUGGUGUUACUGCGAAGGGGGGACGGAGAAGGCUAUGUUGGCCGGGCGACGGUUGUCCCGGUUUAAGCGUGUAGGCUGGUUUUCCAGGCAAAUCCGGAAAACCAAGGCUGAGGCGUGAUGACGAGGCACUACGGUGCUGAAGCGACAAAUGCCCUGCUUCCAGGAAAAGCCUCUAAGCAUCAGGUAACAUCAAAUCGUACCCCAAACCGACACAGGUGGUCAGGUAGAGAAUACCAAGGCGCUUGAGAGAACUCGGGUGAAGGAACUAGGCAAAAUGGUGCCGUAACUUCGGGAGAAGGCACGCUGAUAUGUAGGUGAAGCGACUUGCUCGUGGAGCUGAAAUCAGUCGAAGAUACCAGCUGGCUGCAACUGUUUAUUAAAAACACAGCACUGUGCAAACACGAAAGUGGACGUAUACGGUGUGACGCCUGCCCGGUGCCGGAAGGUUAAUUGAUGGGGUUAGCGGUAACGCGAAGCUCUUGAUCGAAGCCCCGGUAAACGGCGGCCGUAACUAUAACGGUCCUAAGGUAGCGAAAUUCCUUGUCGGGUAAGUUCCGACCUGCACGAAUGGCGUAAUGAUGGCCAGGCUGUCUCCACCCGAGACUCAGUGAAAUUGAACUCGCUGUGAAGAUGCAGUGUACCCGCGGCAAGACGGAAAGACCCCGUGAACCUUUACUAUAGCUUGACACUGAACAUUGAGCCUUGAUGUGUAGGAUAGGUGGGAGGCUUUGAAGUGUGGACGCCAGUCUGCAUGGAGCCGACCUUGAAAUACCACCCUUUAAUGUUUGAUGUUCUAACGUUGGCCCGUAAUCCGGGUUGCGGACAGUGUCUGGUGGGUAGUUUGACUGGGGCGGUCUCCUCCUAAAGAGUAACGGAGGAGCACGAAGGUUGGCUAAUCCUGGUCGGACAUCAGGAGGUUAGUGCAAUGGCAUAAGCCAGCUUGACUGCGAGCGUGACGGCGCGAGCAGGUGCGAAAGCAGGUCAUAGUGAUCCGGUGGUUCUGAAUGGAAGGGCCAUCGCUCAACGGAUAAAAGGUACUCCGGGGAUAACAGGCUGAUACCGCCCAAGAGUUCAUAUCGACGGCGGUGUUUGGCACCUCGAUGUCGGCUCAUCACAUCCUGGGGCUGAAGUAGGUCCCAAGGGUAUGGCUGUUCGCCAUUUAAAGUGGUACGCGAGCUGGGUUUAGAACGUCGUGAGACAGUUCGGUCCCUAUCUGCCGUGGGCGCUGGAGAACUGAGGGGGGCUGCUCCUAGUACGAGAGGACCGGAGUGGACGCAUCACUGGUGUUCGGGUUGUCAUGCCAAUGGCACUGCCCGGUAGCUAAAUGCGGAAGAGAUAAGUGCUGAAAGCAUCUAAGCACGAAACUUG